AGCAAACUACAUUGCCAUUUAAGCCUAUCAAAAAAGGGAAAAAGAAAAACCCUUGGUCUGAUUCUGAAUCAGAUAUGAGCAGUAACGAAAGUAAUUUUGAUGUCCCUCCACGAGAGAAAGAGCCAAGAAUUGCUGCAACAAAAGCCAAAUUCACGGCGGAUUUAGACUCUGAUGACGAUUUCUCAGGCUUGGAUGAGAAGGAUGAGGAUGAAGAUUUCUUCCCAUUAGAUGAUACUCCACCUAAGACCAAAAUGCCCCCAAAAAAUACUAAAAAAGCACUGAAGCCACAGAAGAGCUCCACAUCAGGUAUGCUUGUGGGUAGGAUCAUUAGAGCUGCACAUCGGGUAUGCAUGUGGACAGAAUCAUUCAGUGCUUAGAAGAUGGCUCGGUCAGUCCUGUGUGUGCUACCCAAGGGUGAGGACCUGAGUUCUGCCCACAGCACCCGAAUAAACCCGUAAUCCUUAGUGCUCAGGACUUAGAGGAAGGAGGUUUGUAAGUUCAGAGCCAACUUGUGCAAAGCUCUGUGCCCCAAAAAGUAAAAAACUUAAAUUCAACUAAGUUCUAAGAUUAUUUAAAAUAGUCCAAGCAAGUUAGGAUGGGAAUACAUAGCAGCAGUGCAAUGUUUGAAAUUGUUAUCAUGACCAAACAUUUUCCUUCCUGUUUGAAGUUGAUCUUGAAAGUGAUGGGAAAGACAGUGUGCCAGCUUCUCCAGGCGCUUCUGCUGCUGACGUCCCAGCUGAGACUGAACCCUCCAAGCCGUCCUCCAAACAGACAGUGGGAGUGAAGAGGACAAUAACCAAAGGUCAGUCUUUAACCUCCACUGCUGGCACCAAAAAGAGAGCUGUACCAAAGGAGACCAAGUCAGAUUCAGCCUUGAAUGCUCAUGUCUCCAAAAAGCCUGCUCCUGCCAAAGCCAAGAACAGUCGCAAGAGGAAGCCAUCUUCUUCUGACAGCUCGGACUCUGAGUUUGAGAAGGCGAUUUCUAAAGGUGCCACAAGCAAGAAACCCAAGGGAGAGGAGCGGGAUUUCCAUGUGGACUUAGAUGACACUG
rnacentral:lncRNA from 1 species